AGGGUUUAUUUUCUUAAACUAUGCUAUUUAUAUGUGAUGUGCGGAUAUGCGAAUUUGCGGAUCGGAUCCGUGGAUAUCACUACCAAAUCUGCAAUCCGAUCCGACCAUAGUGCGGAUCCGAUCCGAUGGCUCUGCGGAUCGGAUAAUAUCCACAAAAUUCGGAUCGGAUGCGGAUAAUUACCGCGGAUAUGCAGAUAUUAUCCGAUUCAUGUGCAGCCCUAUUGAAAGCAAUGCUAAUUGAUUGGUGUGAUGUUAAUGUAAACAGGGUUUUCUUGCAGAAGGGUUGCAGAGGACUUCGGCUGGUUUGGGCAGCGUUAUAAUUGAUUCACAACCUUUGACAGUAGCUGUGCUUGCAGCUUUGUUAUUUGGUGAAUCCAUUGGGAUUGUUGGUGCUGCUGGUCUAGUCCUUGGUGUAGUUGGGCUUGUAUUACUCGAGUUACCGAUGCUGUCAUUUGAUGAAAGCAAUUUCUCACUAUGAGAAAGUGGGGAGUGGUGGAUGCUUCUUGCAGCCCAGAGUAUGGCAGUUGGCACAGUUAUGGUUCGAUGGGUCUCCAAGUACUCUGAUCCUGUCAUGGCAACUGGAUGGCAUAUGGUUAUUGGUGGCCUCCCUCUAGUGGCAUUCUCCAUUCUUAACAAUGAUCCUGCUCUCGGUCAGAGUCUUCAAGAGUACAGUUCAACUGAUAUAUUUCAAUUGAUAUAUAGUUUCCCUGUUCAAAUGAUAUAUCCGUCGAGCAGCUCUAUUCCAUCGUCGCCGGCGCUAUCUCUGUUCCACCUGUCAUCCCUUCGGUCGUGUCCUUGUCCCCCUCUUGCUCAAGAUCUGCUCUGCUCUGUUCUAGGGCUUCUAGCUUCUAGAUGUAGACCUUGCUAAAGUUUUUGAACUCAUUGGGACUUGCCUUGUGGAUAUGGCCAAAGUGGGAGUGAUUAGUGAAGAAAAAGUGGAUUCAUUCAAUGUGCCUUUGAUAUAC